AAAUUUUGUCUACCUCCACACGUUGCUACUUCAAAAUCAAGCCUAAUGGAUAGGUCUUCACAUCUCUACCUCCUCAUUACAUUACUCUUUCUACUUCAUUGGUUAAUUGAUUAUAGCUCAGCCAACUCAGAUAUGAAUAUUGAUCGUUCGGCACUUAUUGCUACAAGAUCUCGAAUCUCUUUCGAUCCCCAUAACAUAUUGAACAAAAAUUGGAGCAGUGAGAGCAAUAUCUGUAGUUGGAUCGGAGUAACUUGUGAUUCUCGUUAUCACAAAGUGACUCAGUUGAAUAUAUCGUCCAUGGGUCUUGUAGGAACCAUUCCACCAGUUGAAUAUAUCGGAAAUCUUUCUUUUCUUGUGUCUUUAGAUUUGAGCCAGAACUUUUUUCAUGGUCCUAUUCCCACAUCUAUUUUCAACAUGUCCACUUUAGAAGUUUUGGAUUUGAGGAAUAACAGUUUGUCUAGUAGUUUACCAUUUGAUAUGUGUAAACACAAUCUGCAUAGGGGAAAUACCAUCAAGUUUGGAUCACUGUUCACAACUUAAGUAUCUGUCUUUAUACAGCAACAACCUCAGUGGACACGUGCCAAUACAGAUUGGAAACUUGACAUUGCUUCAACAAUUAAUGUUGGGUGGCAACAAUUUAAGUGGUACGAUCUUUUCUCAUACUAUUUCAUUUUUACAUUUGUUUUGGCUUGAUUGGUAUGAAAAUUAUCUUUUUGAUGUCACUUCAUUAAUUUGUUUUGGAGGUAUUACUUAUUAUGCUUUGCAUUUGGGAUUUAUAUUUAGUCAUCUCUCGGGUUUUAGUUGGUGUUGUAAAAUGUGAAUGGUGUAUAAAUGUUUACAAAAGGUUUAAAGUUUAAACACAAAAAUGCACGUUGGACCUAAAAAGGAGAAACGCUGUAUUAUUUGGUAUUUUUAAAUAGGUGUAUUAUUGUUGCAUAUUUUAGGGUAUAUUUCAUAGCAUAAAUCAACAUAAACUAAGUUCUCCCGUCUCAUUCAAGAUAUCCAUCUUUUAUAUUUAGUCUGUUCCAACUAAGACGUCCUAAUUCCAUAUUAGAAAUAAAUAAUAACCGAAAUUUGACUAUUUGAUUCUUAAAAUAAUUGAUGCACUUUUUAUGAAUACUAAAAAUAGUUGUACGAAACUAAUAAUCCCUCCGUCCACGUUACUUGAGUCAUUUCUUUUUUGUACAUUUUUCAAAAAAUGAUAAUAAAUAGUUAAAGUGGAGAUAGAGUAAAGUAAGAGAAAGAAUAAUGUAGAAGAGAGUCGUCUUGUUCGUAUUCUCUCUCUUGAUUCGUUGAUCCUUCUUGUUUGAAUGAUCCGUUUAUAUAGUUGGGGAUAGGUUUGGUUUUAAAAUGCAAGAAAUUUAGGUCAUUAUGAUGAGCUGAGUCGUUGGGUUUGCAAAUGUGGAAACUCAGCGGGUCGCUUGAGACUUUCUGUUCUCUCAGACGUUUUCUAGCGAGUCGUUGGGUUAGCCUUUAUGCGAAGUCAGCGGGCCACUAGAGUUUCUUUAGAUCUCAGCUACAACCCAGUCGAUCGCUGGGUUGGUAAGCAUAUCAAGUCAGCGGGUCGCUGUAUUGGAUGGUUGCGAACCGAGCAGGUCGCUGGGCCACUUUUGUUAUCUGUUUCGAAUCCAACUUUUGCACUUUGUAUGGUGCACCUAUUUCAAGCCUCUGUUCCUACACAAUUUUAACAAAAUGGUCUAAAUACAAAAAUCAAGAAAAGUAGACAUUAUCAAGCCAAAUUUAAACAAUAUAUAUUUAAGACAUUGAGCAUAUGAUAUUAUUGGUCAUACUAAAUUUCGGUGGUUAUUUAAUUUUUAAUCAGUAUUGAGCAUAUGAUGUUGGUCUUAUACUCCCUACGUCCCUCUGUAGUAGAGGCGUUUCAUUUUGAGCACUCAUUUUGGAAAAUUUAUAAUAAAUAGUUAAAGUGCAUAGAAAGUAAAGUAAAAAAGAGAAUAAUAAAGUUAAGAGUCUUCUCUAUAUUAAUCUUUCUCUUAUUUUACAUUUACUCUAUUUUAAUUAUUUAUUAUUAUUUUUUCAAAACGAGUGCUGAAAAUUAAACGCCUCUACUAAAGAGGGACGGAGGGAGUACUACUUUGACUUGUUAAUAUGUGUGAGUUUUUUGCAUCCCUAUAUUUAUUGCAUCUUGAGUAGUGGAGAUCAUUAGCAUACGAGAAGAGCUAGAUUAUUAGAGUAUCCACAAUAGAAGCGGAACAGCCACGCCACAACCACAAAAACUUGUUCAACCCAAUCAAUAACAGCCACGCCACAGUCGCAAAUCACAUUAUUUUAUCAAUUGUUGGUAUAUUUUAAUUCGACUAGAAUGACAUAAUUAGAAAUAAAAAAAACUUACUUCAUUAACAUAAAAAUGAAAAAAUUAAGGAAAACAAAAUUGCCGGAAAUCACCGCCGCGGCGGUCGGCGGCGAGCAAUAGGCCGCCGCGGCUCUAUUGUGGACACUCUUAAUACUUUGUAGUACAUAGACCUAGUUAGUUGUAAUUUACUCUGAACAAUAAAAAUAAAGUUAGUCAGAACUCUUAACACUCUUUGAAAAAAGAAAUUAAUGAUAUUAAGCUAGCAAAAAAACGCAAGUAAUUAAUGGACAUAGAAUAUUUUAAACACAUGAAAUUAAUUGAAUUAAAAAGGAGUCAAGAUUAUGUAAUAUGGAUUUCGAUGGUAUAUCAAUACUAUUAAUCAUAAUAGUAACACUAACUAGUGUCACUUAAAAGACUUUAAUUAUAUUUGGCUCAAUUUAAUUAAAAAGAAGUCUAUUGUCUGGAUAAAGCCUAUACAAAUAUCUUUGAAUCUCUAGCCAAACAUAGUCUAUAAAUAUGGGAAGAUUAUCUGAUCAUAAUUCGUGUCCCACUUCUUGAAAUUUUUGAGAGAGGCAUUUUUGUAUUUCCUCCUCUUUUCUUGCGAUAUUUUAUAACUAGAUUUAAAAGUUUGAUAGUUUAUUGCCCAUGCAAUUAUCAAACUUUUGAUUAAAGAUAAUUAUCUAGAAGAUUUGAAGUCAAAUUCAACUAGUCUAAUAACAAGAUCUGCAUAAAAUGUAACUCUAGAUCUAAAAGUUUGAUAGUUUAUUGCCCAUACAAUAAUCAAACUUUUGUCUUAUUCAAGAUGGUUAUCCCUCCGUCUUAUUCAAGAUGGUUACAUUCUUGAAUAGCACGAAGUUUUAGAUGGAAUAAUUGUUUGUAAUAAAGUACUAGAAUGGAAAAAGUAAUUGAAUAUUUUAAUGAGAAGAGAAGAGAGAGGAUAGAGAAGAGAGAGAGAGAUUUAAUUCUGAAUAUAGAAAUUGGACAUCUUGAAUGUGACAAACUAAAAAGAAAAAAUGAACAUCUUGAAUAAGACGGAGAGAGUAGAAGAUUUGAAGUCAAAUUCAACUCUUCUAAUAAAAAGAUCUGCAUAAAAGGUAACUCUUGAUCCGUAGCAGAGAUUCUCAGGAAGUACUCCUAGGGCGUGUUUUGUAGAUGGGAAUAAGCAAGAAUUUUAUUUUUAUCCUCGAUAUUCUCUGCGUUUUGUAGCCUUGACAACAAACCUCGUUGACCCGGGAGUUCUGUAGUUUGAAAUCCUCUUUUCACUGUUGGAAUUGGAAAGUUAAUUUUAAAAAGUGUCUUGAACUUCUCGCCGGCUAAAUUGUUUGCUAUUCCUUCAAUUACUUUCCUCUUCCCUCUAUCAACCAACAAAAUAUUAGGGCAACGAUUCUUCUUCGUCCGCGGAGGCUUUUGACGAAAUUUACUCUCGGAAACAGCAAACUCCUGCUGAAUUCCUAUUCCGAUAAGUUAUCACCAUCUUCACUCUUCGAUUAACAUAUCUUCCAGAUCUCGUAUGUGCCCAUCUUAGAUUCGCUCAUAUUUCAAAUCAAAAUCAAAUGGCUGUUUGAGUACUAUGAUUUUAUUUGUGCUAUUGUCUCUGUACUGUUAUCGACUGCCACUAUGUGAACCCGCCUCGACAAGUUCAUGAGCACUUGUUUUGAUUAACUGGAGUUUGACUUUUUAAUCCCAUCAUUCUGCAAAACAUUCUCAGUGGAAACCUGCCUCGAAAGUUUAAAGGUACCUCAUGAGUGGGUGCACCGGCAUGGUCGGAACUUGCCACAUAACUGUACCCUAAUCAUGCAAAAUCGGCGACGUUGGGUUGUAAGGUUAGUGCAGGUGGAAAACGGGUUCUAUUUUAGGUCUAGUUGGAACGAGUUUGUUCGCCAAAAUUUCUUGGCGCAAGCAGACUUCCUUGCAUUUCAUUAUGUGGGAGGGGGAGAGUUCCAAGUCUACAGGUUCAACAGUUUCAGCGGAUGUCCGUCGAGACCAGAUUACGACGCCUCACUGACUCCUGCAUAUGAGAGUGAUGUCGACCUAUAUCCGGAUGUGAAAACCAGCGAUGACUUUGACACCUCCGACGAAGAGGCCGAAGACAGGGCUGAUGA